rnacentral:tRNA from 1 species
GUUAAGGUGACAGAGCCUGGUAAUUGUAAAAGAUCUAAACUCUUUAUUUCAGAGGUUCAAAUCCUCUCCUUAACU